UGGAUCUUUGAGGGGAAAAUAGUGACCUCUUGAUGUGUGUCAGAAUGGAUCUUCUGAGUGCAAACAGUGACCUCUUGAUAACAAUUGACCAAGUCCUGGACUCUUGCUGCUGAGAUGAACAUUCUUCACUCCUGAUAAACAGGAUAUCGGACUCCCCUCAGAGAUGAUGCCUGCUCACCUGACUCCAUCCCAGAUCACAGCCACACCAUCUAGACAACCUGGACCCAUAGGUGUGAUGGGAACCGCGUUGUUCCAGGCCACACGUGUGCAGACCAGUGUCCCACACUGUAUAGCGUCAUCAGGCACAGACUCUGAGAACGGAAAGGAACCUUCGAGCUUGUUGACGGGGAAAUGGGUUCGAUCCCUGAUCUGGGAAGAUUCCACAUGCCGCGGAGCAACUGAACCUGUGUGCCACAACUAUUGAACUUGUCCUCUGGAUCCUGGGAACUGCAACUACUGAGCCCAUGCACCACAGCUACUGAAGCCCGUGCACCCGAGAGCCUGUGCUCUGCAACAAGAGGAGCCACUGCAAUGAGAAGCCUGUGUGCCACAACUGGAGAGGAGCCCCUGCUCACUGCAACUAAAGAAAGCCCUCACAAAGCACCGAAGACCCAGCACAACCCAAAAUAAAUGAAUAAAUAAAAUUAUAUAGAAAAGAAUGAGUGGGUCUAUGGGGAUACUAUAGCAGAGGCUGUCCCAUUAAACUGGGGACCAGUAGCCCAUGUUGUAAUACACAUCACAGUGGCCAAGCCACAGCAUCCUUGCCUGCAGCUCCCCUCUCAUCACCUCCAACCUCUGCCUCCACAUCAUUGUAAGGAAGGAAGAAAAGGGAGGUGGGGGGGAAUCUUGCUGCUAGGUUUGCAGAGGAUGCUGCUGAUUUCUGAACCAGAACGGACUUUGAAAAGUCCUCCUGAGUCUAAAAAGAUGAAGACUCAUUGCUUCAACCCUUGCAGUAAACAUCCUGGGUAACCUUCACCUCAAACCUCAGAGGUUUCGAGAUGGCACAGAACAUGCUGUGCCGUGUUUAUUUCCCAUCACUUGGUGGAGAAACUCUGCACGGGAAGGAGGAGGCAGAAAUGAAGCCCUGGAGGUACUGCAGGGUGGGUUCCAGACCUCCGCAAUAAUGUGAAUCUCGCAAUAAAGUGAGUCACGUGGAUUUUUUUUUUUUUGGUUUCGCAGUGUAUAUAAAAGUGUAAUACACUCUACUGUAACCUGUUAAGCAUGCAAUAACAUUAUGUCUAAAAAAAAGUACAUCCCUUCACUGAAAAAUACUUUCUUGCUAAAAAAUGCUAACCAUCAUGUGAGCCUUCAGUGGGUCAUCACUUUUUUGCAAUAGUCCUGUCAAAGAUCACCAUCACAACUGUAAUACUAAUGAAAAAUGUGAAAUACUUGUGGAGAAUGGCCAAAAUGUGAAACAGACACAAGUGAGCAAAUGCUAUUGGAAAAGUGGCACCCCUAGACGUGUCCGAACCCAGGUUGCUGCAAACCUUCAAUGUGU
ensembl:lncRNA